rnacentral:rRNA from 1 species
AACGAACGCUGGCGGCGUGGAUAAGACAUGCAAGUCGAACGGAAGAUGCAUAGCUUGCUAGGCAUCUUUAGUGGCGCACGGGUGAGUAACGCGUGAGUGACCCGCCCAUAAGUUGGGGAUAGCCCUGGGAAACCGGGAUUAAUACCGAAUGUGAUCGAAAGAUCAAAGGAGAAAUCCGCUUAUGGAGGGGCUCGCGUCCUAUUAGUUAGUUGGUGAGGUAACGGCUCACCAAGGCGAUGACGGGUAGCCGGUCUGAGAGGAUGUCCGGCCACACUGGAACUGAGACACGGUCCAGACACCUACGGGUGGCAGCAGUCGAGAAUCAUUCACAAUGGGGGCAACCCUGAUGGUGCGACGCCGCGUAGGGGGAAGAAGGUCUUCGGAUUGUAAACCCCUGUCAUGUGGGAGCAAGCUAGUGAUAGUUGAUAGUACCACAAGAGGAAGAGACGGCUAACUCUGUGCCAGCCGCCGCGGUAA